rnacentral:rRNA from 1 species
AUACGCUGGCGGCUGUCUAAGGCAUGCAGUCGAACGAUGACUUUCAAGCUUUUAGUUUUAGAGUCAAAUGGCAAACGGGAGAGUAACACACUGGUAACCUACCUCUAAGCCGAGCAUAGCUCACCGAAAGGUGAAUUAAUACUCGAUAGUCAUGGGGGGUCAUAUGACAUUCCCAUGUAAAACUCCGGUGCUUAGAGAGGGGCCUAUGUCUGAUUAGCUUGUUGGUGGGGUAAAGGCCUACCAAGGCGAUGAUCAGUACCGGGCGUGAGAGCGUGACCCGGCUCACUGGGACUGAGACACUGGCCAGACUCCUACGGGAGGCUGCAGUCAAGAAUCUUCCACAAUGGGCGAAAGCCUGAUGGAGCGAUGCCGCGUGCAGGAAGAAUUCCUUCGGGAUGUAAACUGCUUUUAUAAGGGACGAAUUCGUGACGGUACCUUAUGAAUAAGAGGUUGCUAACUCUGUGCCAGCAGCAGCGGUAAUACAGAGACCUCAAGCGUUAUCCGGAAUUACUGGGCGUAAAGCGUCCGCAGGUGGUAUUAUAAGUCAAUGGUCAAAUCCUGGGGCUCAACUUCAGGACUGCCGUUGAUACU